UGGCAGCAAUUUUGGCGGUCAACAAUUUCGGCUUUGUUUCCUCUCAUUCUUUUCUUGUCUUUCUUUACCAGGUGUCCAGGCAAUUUAGGCGGCGAGUUCAUUCUUUUCUUGGCUUUCUUUACUGGGCGUUCAAGCAAUUUUGGCGGUGAGUUGAGCUGAAUCCAGAGCGCACUGCUUCAGAGUUUUGCGCGCUGCUACUUUUCCUUAUUGUUUUCUCGGUCUUGUUUCCUCUGUUUCUUUUCUUGGCCUUCUUUACCAGGAAUAUAUUUUAUACUAAAGGCAAAACGAAGGGCUCUAGGAAAUGUCUGGUGUUUUGGCUCAGUAUCAUCCGGCGGUAGCUAAUGCCCUGAUCGUAUGAUUGUUGGGUAACGUGUUCGAUGGUGUGAGUGCAGCAGCAAAGGGUGUAUGUUCCAGGAAGGGAAAAGGAGAAGCAAACUGUUGAGCUGGAGGUCUGCAAUCAGGGAAUGUUCAAAACCGAGUUGCGUAACAAAUGGCAAGAGACCGGGGAAUGUCCCUAUGGAGAGAACUGCCAAUUUGCUCAUGGAAUUAAGGAGCUGCGCCCUGUACUUCGCCACCCGCAUGGAGUUGAACGGUGGACACCGAUGAUGAGGAGAAGCUUAUCAAGUCCACGAACAUCAGGCCCCUAAAGCUACUCAAUCGUUAGGUCCAUGAUUAUAACUCCCCUAAAUGACGUUAGACAACUGCAAAAGUCUUGGCUGGUAUGCAACGGUGUUUUUGUUCUUCAAAGUAAGCAAUUGAUUAAUAGGCAAUAAGGCUAAGGUCUACUGAUGUGAUAAUACUAACUGCUUGAUUAAAAAAAAAACUGUAUGAUCCGUGGUCAAGGAGAUUAAAAGUAACAUUUCUCGGCAGUGCACCUUUGAUGAGUUACUGUGCAUUGUUUGCAAACA